rnacentral:rRNA from 1 species
UACGUAGGUGGCGAGCGUUACUCGGAAUUACUAGGCGUAAAGCGCGUGUAGGCGGGAGCUUAAGUCUGUCGUGAAAGCUCAGGGCUCAACCCUGAAAUGCCGGCAGAAACUGGGCUUCUUGAGUGCGGUAGAGGAGAUCGGAAUUCCAGGUGUAGCGGUGAAAUGCGUAGAUAUCUGGAAGAACGCCAAAGGCGAAGGCAGAUCUCUGGGCCGUUACUGACGCUGAGACGCGAAAGCUAGGGGAGCAAACAGG